GGUAGAGUGGCCGAGUGUUAGGCGGCGGUCUGUAGCACCGUGAACAGAGGUUUAAGUCCUCUUUCUAUCA
rnacentral:tRNA from 1 species